UCAAGCGAGUAUGGAAGCUGCAAUUGAGAAGUAAGUUGUUUGUUAUCAUUCAGUUUAUUCUAUUAAAAUGAUAUAUGACAACUUACAGUUACGAGAAAGCAGGAGUUCAUACGUUUGA
rnacentral:miRNA from 1 species